rnacentral:rRNA from 1 species
AGCUCCAAUAGCGUAUAUUAAAGUUGUUGCGGUUAAAAAGCUCGUAGUUGGAUUUCUGUCUCGGACGUCCGGUCCGCCCUCUGGGUGAGUACAUGGUACGACCGGGGCAUCUUCUUGGGGAACGUACUGCACUUGACUGUGUGGUGCGGUAUCCAGGACUUUUACUUUGAGGAAAUUAGAGUGUUUCAAGCAGGCUUACGCCUUGAAUACAUUAGCAUGGAAUAAUAAGAUAGGACCUCGGUUCUAUUUUGUUGGUUUCUAGA